ensembl:lncRNA
CCCCCCCCCCCCCCCCCCCCCCCCCCCCCCCCCCCCCCCCCCCCCCCCCCCCCCCCCCCCCCCCCCCCCCCCCCCCCCCCCCCCCCCCCCCCCCCCCCCCCCCCCCCCCCCCCCCCCUCACCAAAGACCCUGUCCAAAUCCCAAAAUUUUCUCCCCAGAUCCCUGAAAAUCGCCAAAGACCCUGCCCAGAUCCCAAAAAUCCCUUCCCAGAUCCCCAAAAUUCACCAAAGACCCUGCCCAGAUCAAAGAAAAUCCCUUCCCAGGUCCCUGAAAAUCACCGAAGACCCUGCCCAGAUCAAAGAAAAUCCCUUCCCAGAUCCCAAAAAUCCCUUCCCAGAUCCCUGAAAAUCACCAAAGGCCCUGCCCAGAUCCCAGAACUCUCCAGGAAACUCUUCCCUGCUCCCCAGGAGUCCCAGAGCCCCUCCCCAGCUCUCCAGCCUUUGCCCAGCCCUCGCCCUGACCCCGUUGUUUUCGCAGCUCCCGCUGUCCCCGUUCCGGCCCCUCCCUGCUCCAGGAGGCUCCCAGGGACGAUCCCGAGGCGCUGGAAAUUCCCAAAAUCCCGGGUCCUGUUCCACAUCCCCCGGAGCCGCCCCAGAGCUCCCCCCUGGGCCCCUCUCCGGGGUUCCCUGGGGGGUUCCAGCCCCGAAAUUCCGCGGCCCCGCAGCAGAGGGAGGAGGAGCCGGCGGCCGGGGCGCAGAGUGAAGGGUCAGAUUCCGUCAUUUUGCUGAAGGUCAAGGAUUCCAGGACUCCGGCUCCAAGCCUUCCCUUUUUCCAGGCCGAGCUAUGGAUCAAGGAGCUGUGAGUUAAUAUUACCCUGCUGCCUUUUCCUGGGAUUUUUGGGGUGGAAAAACCAGAAUCCUGAUUUUUUAAAAUCGAUUUUUCCAUGAAAAUCCUGGCUCUUCCAGGACCAGCGUCUACGAUUCCCGAGCCAGAGAGAGGUGGAGGCAAAUCGAGGAGCAGAAAGCUCUGGCCCUGCAGCUCCAGAGCCAGGUGAGAAUUACAUGGAAAAAUGCACUGGCUUGGAAAAAAAAAAUUGGGGGAAAAAAGUGCAAGAACAAAAAAAAAAGCAGGUAAAAUCAAUUUUUAAAAAGCUUUUGUGCUUCCCAGUCAUGGGAGAAACAGCAAGGAAAAGAGGAAAUGUUGUCCCAGAUUGGAAAUCAUGCCAAAUUGGAAAUUUUGGUACUGGAAAGGUGGUUAUGGCUUGGAAAAGGGGUUAGAAUCCGUGGAAGUGGGGAAAAAAAUGAGAUGUGGCACUUGGGGACCAGGGUUGGGUGGCUCUGGAAGGGUUAAUUUCUGGAGAUUUUUCUGACUUUAUUGGUCCUAAAUCCUCCUUUUCCCCGAUCCCAAAUGCCUCUGUGAGGAGAAUCCCUGAUCCCGGCUCUCUCAUUCCCAAAUCCCUGAUCCUGGUUCUGUCAUUCCCAAAUCCCCACAAAUCCCCAGUCCCUGACCCCGGCUCUCUCAUUCCCAAAUCCCUGAUCCCAACUCUCUGAUCCCCUUUUCUUGACCCCGGCUCUCUCAUUCCCAAAUCCCCAUUCCCCAAUCCCAGCUCUCUCAUUCCCCAUUCCCACUCCCAGCUCUGGUCCCCUUCCCUGACCCAUCUCUCCCAUUCCCCAUUCCCACUCUCAGCUCUGGUCCUCACUCCCAGCUGACCCCGGCUCUCUCAUUCCCAAAUCCCCAUUCCCCAAUCCCAGCUCUCUCAUUCCCCAUUCCCACUUCCAGCUCUGGUCCCCUCCCCUGACCUGUCUCUCUCAUCCUCCAUUCCCAAUCCCAGCUCUCGUUCCCCACUCCCAGCUCCCAUUCCCCACUCCCAGCUCUCUCAUUCCCCAUCCCCACUCCCAUCCCCAUUCCCAUCCCAGCUCCCAUUCCCCAUUCCCCAUCCCCACUCCCAUUCCCACUCCCCACUCCCAUCUCUCCCACUCC